CGUGUAGGCGGCUGACCAAGUCCGGUGUGAAAGCCCGGGGCUUACCCCCGGAAGUGCGCUGGAAACUGGUCGACUAGAGUAUGGGAGAGGGAAGUGGAAUUCCUGGUGUAGCGGUGAAAUGCGUAGAUAUCAGGAGGAACACCGGCGGCGAAGGCGGCUUCCUGGACCAAUACUGACGCUGAGACGCGAAAGCGUGGGGAGCAAACA
rnacentral:rRNA from 1 species